rnacentral:rRNA from 1 species
UUUCCUACGGGGNGGSCUGCAGUAGGGAAUCUUCCGCAAUGGACGAAAGUCUGACGGAGCAACGCCGCGUGAGUGAUGAAGGUUUUCGGAUCGUAAAGCUCUGUUGUUAGGGAAGAACAAGUACCGUUCGAAUAGGGCGGUACCUUGACGGUACCUAACCAGAAAGCCACGGCUAACUACGUGCCAGCAGCCGCGGUAAUACGUAGGUGGCAAGCGUUGUCCGGAAUUAUUGGGCGUAAAGGGCUCGCAGGCGGUUUCUUAAGUCUGAUGUGAAAGCCCCCGGCUCAACCGGGGAGGGUCAUUGGAAACUGGGGAACUUGAGUGCAGAAGAGGAGAGUGGAAUUCCACGUGUAGCGGUGAAAUGCGUAGAGAUGUGGAGGAACACCAGUGGCGAAGGCGACUCUCUGGUCUGUAACUGACGCUGAGGAGCGAAAGCGUGGGGAGCGAACAGGAUUAGAUACCCCGKGGUAGUCAAG